rnacentral:rRNA from 1 species
UACAGAGGUCUCAAGCGUUGUUCGGAUUCAUUGGGCGUAAAGGGUGCGUAGGCGGCGCGGUAAGUCGGGUGUGAAAUUUCGGAGCUUAACUCCGAAACUGCAUUCGAUACUGCGGUGCUUGAGGACUGGAGAGGAGACUGGAAUUCAUGGUGUAGCAGUGAAAUGCGUAGAGAUCAUGAGGAAGACCAGUGGCGAAGGCGGGUCUCUGGACAGUUCCUGACGCUGAGGCACGAAGGCCCAGGGGGAGGCAAAACGGG